CUACGGAACUCCUACGGGAGGCAGCAGUGGGGAAUAUUGGACAAUGGGCGAAAGCCUGAUCCAGCCAUGCCGCGUGAGUGAUGAAGGCCUUAGGGUUGUAAAGCUCUUUCAGUAGGGAAGAUAAUGACGGUACCUACAGAAGAAGCCCCGGCUAACUUCGUGCCAGCAGCCGCGGUAAUACGAAGGGGGCUAGCGUUGUUCGGAUUUACUGGGCGUAAAGCGCACGUAGGCGGAUCGUUAAGUCGGGGGUGAAAUCCUGGAGCUCAACUCCAGAACUGCCUUCGAUACUGGCGAUCUUGAGUCCGGAAGAGGUGAGUGGAACUCCUAGUGUAGAGGUGGAAUUCGUAGAUAUUAGGAAGAACACCAGUGGCGAAGGCGGCUCACUGGUCCGGUACUGACGCUGAGGUGCGAAAGCGUGGGGAGCAAACAGGAUUAGAUACCCGGGUAGUCCUCUUCGA
rnacentral:rRNA from 1 species